GAAGACUGCAAGAUGAAUGCAGUUCAGACUGAGGCAAGGUCAUGCUGAAUGGCCUAGACUGGUUCCUGCUACCUCGGGAAGUCUGUAAGAAGCUUCCUGUCAGGGCCUGAAGAUUGCCUUGGAAUCGAGCUCUCCUUUAUGCUGGUUCCUGGUACCUGUUCUGCUCAUCUUACUUACAGAUCACCUGGCUCCUGCUGCCCUGCCUCAGCUUUUGACCACCUGCCUUGCCUUCCAGCUCUGGGAGCCUCCAGUUCAUCUCUGCCUUCCUUCUCAUCCACCAGCCGUUUGCUCUGAUCGCCCACAUAGUCACUGAUAGAUUUUUUUCCUUGUGUCUUGGUCUUUAACUGAUGGCAACAUCAUGACCUUUGACUCCUGUGUGUGGUUGGAAUGUGAGCCAUGUAAUAUAGUUGCUUUUGAUCUCUUCAUCUGGUUCCCCUUCAUCAGAAUUUGCUUUGCAUAUUAUUCUCCUUGAUUGUGAGCCAGGCCUUGUAGAAUCAUUUAUUUUGCACAAGGACACUAUUCCUACUCCCUUAGGAUGGUAAAGACUGAAGUGAAGAAAUGACCAAAUCCAGUUCAGCUGAUUAUUAAGCAAGGUUUAUCUGAAUGAAUCUAACAAUAGCAUUUAAUAAAGUAUUCUUGAUUGUGACUAUGUGUCCAAGUUAUCCUGGAACCUGAAUCUGACUUGCUGCAAAGGCACUGAAUUAGAAUAUUUAGAUGGUAUCUUAGUAUAUGCAUUUUAAAAAAAUGGAUGCUUCUUGAAAUAAAGCUUGGGCUGCAACUGAGCACUGUUAAUCCAGCGAUUACCUAAAAUAUUGUGUAUUAUAACAACAAUGAAUCUCACUAAAAAUAAUACUAGCCAUUGCUAUCUGUGUACCAAAUGGUAAGUUCUUUACAUUUAGAUUCUCACUUAAUUAACCUUCGAGUCAAUGCCAGCUGUAUACUCUGCAUACAGAGAAUAAAUGCCAUUUAAUUAGAAAGAGGUCAAAUUACCAACUAAUAGUGAUAGAUCAUUGCCCAAUAGGAAAUUAAAUCUAAAUCAUUUUUAUGCUUAAGUGGAACACAUCAAUAUC
rnacentral:lncRNA from 1 species